CCUACGGGAGGCAGCAGUGAGGAAUAUUGGUCAAUGGACGCAAGUCUGAACCAGCCAUGCCGCGUGCAGGAUGACUGCUCUAUGGGUUGUAAACUGCUUUUAUACGAGGGUAAACUCAGAUACGCGUAUCUUUCUGCAUGUAUCUUACGAAUAAGGAUCGGUUAACUCCGUGCCAGCAGCCGCGGUAAUACGGAGGAUUCGAGCGUUAUCCGGAUUUAUUGGGUUUAAAGGGUGCGUAGGAGGUCGGAUAAGUUAGUUGUGAAAGUCCGAGGCUCAACUUCGGAAUUGCAUCUGAUACUGUUAGGCUAGAGAGUAGUUGCGGUAGGCGGAAUGUAUGGUGUAGUGGUGAAAUGCUUAGAGAUCAGAAAGAACACCGAUUGCGAAGGCAGCUUACCAAGCUAGGUCUGACGUUGAGGCACGAAAGCGUGGGGAGCAAACAGGAUUAGAUACCCCUGUAGUC
rnacentral:rRNA from 1 species